AGAGUUUGAUUCUGGCUCAGGAUGAACGCUAGCUACAGGCUUAACACAUGCAAGUCGUGGGGCAGCAUGGCGGUAGCAAUACCGCUGAUGGCGACCGGCGCACGGGUGAGUAACGCGUAUCCAACCUGGCCCACAGUAGGGGAUAGCCCGGCGAAAGUCGGAUUAAUACCCUAUGUUCUUUACGGCGGACAUCUAACGUAAAGCAAAGAUUCAUCGCUAUGGGAUGGGGAUGCGUCCGAUUAGCUUGACGGCGGGGUAACGGCCCACCGUGGCUUCGAUCGGUAGGGGUUCUGAGAGGAAGGUCCCCCACAUUGGAACUGAGACACGGUCCAAACUCCUACGGGAGGCAGCAGUGAGGAAUAUUGGUCAAUGGGCGUAAGCCUGAACCAAGCCAAGUAGCGUGCAGGAUGACCGGCCCUACGGGUUGUAAACUGCUUUUGCCGGGGAAUAAAGUUCGGGACGCGUCCCGUUUUGUAUGUACCCGGAGAAUAAGGACCGGCUAAUUCCGUGCCAGCCGCGGC
rnacentral:rRNA from 1 species